rnacentral:rRNA from 1 species
AAGCUAGCUAGCAAUAGGGUGAUCGAGCGACAGUUCGAAACCACGAUGGGGAUGGCGGCGGCGCUGUGGGACGCCCUAUCGAAGGCUGCCAACCUGGCGCAGAUGUCUGGCCUGCACGCCGUCAUGCUGGUAGCCGUGGUGGCGAGCCUGCUACGCGUCCCGCAGAGCAAGCGGGAGUGCGCCAAGCUCGAGCGGUGCAGCCGAAGGCUCUGUGUGCUGCUGCAGUGGCCGACGGGCUGCGGGGCUGUGCUGCUGCAAUCGGAGAUGGGAGGCCCCGCUGUAAAAGCACUGGUCGACGCGGCCGGCCUCGUCGACGACUACAAGAAGAGCACGCUGUGGCGCCGCGUCCGGUGGGGCAGGAGCAUGGCGACCCGGUUUCGUGACAUGCAGGACGCCGUCGACUCCUACUACGGCAUCCUGAUCUUCAUCAACGCCAAUGUUCUGUUACAACGGGCGACUCGUCAUCUCCCGGGCACGAUUCAUGGGGUGGAUGAUCCACCGCAAAGUCAAAGCCUACAAGCAGUCAGCAAUUGCUCCAAAGUUACAGCAACUUGUCACACUCAAAUGACCAACAACGAUACUGGCGAGGAAGGAGCCAGCAAAAUAGGAAGCGAAAGAGACAACACCAACCCGACUGGGUGUGAAAGAAGCUUGCCU